rnacentral:rRNA from 1 species
UACGAGGGAUGCAAGCGUUAUCCGGAAUUAUUGGGCGUAAAGCGUUUGUAGGCGGGCGAGUGUGUUUAAUGUUAAAUCUUAAAGCUCAACUUUGAGAUUGCGUUAAAAACUCCUUGUCUUGAGUAUGGUAGGGGUAAAGGGAAUUCCCAGUGUAGCGGUGAAAUGCGUAGAUAUUGGGAAGAACACUAAACAGCGAAGGCACUUUACUAGGCUAAUACUGACGCUGAGAAACGAAAGGUAAGGUAGCGAAACGGAUUAGAUACCCGUGUAGUCUUACCCGUAAACUAUGGACACUAAACGGUAAAUUUUUAAUUUACUGUUAAAGCUAACGCGUUAAGUGUCCCGCCUGGGGAGUAUGCUUGCAAAAGUGAAACUCAAAGGAAUUGACGGGGGCCCGCACAAGCGGUGGAGCAUGUGGUUUAAUUCGACGGUACACGAAGAACCUUACCAGGAUUUGACAUGCUAGAUAGUUGCUUGAAAGAGUAACGUGCCGUAAGGAAUCUAGACACAGGUGGUGCAUGGCUGUCGUCAGUUCGUGUUGUGAAAUGUUGGGUUAAGUCCCGCAACGAACGCAACCCUUGUCUUUAGUUAUUUUCUAAAGAGACUGCCUGUAAUAAACAGGAGGAAGGUAAGGAUGAGGUCAAGUCAUCAUGCCCCUUAUGUCCUGGGCUACACACGUGCUACAAUGGGAAAGACAAUGAGCUGCAAAUCUGUAAAUUUAAGCAAAUCUCUUAAACUUUCUCGUAGUUCGGAUUGUGGGCUGCAACUCGCCCACAUGAAGUUGGAAUCGCUAGUAAUCGCCAGUCAGCUAUAUGGCGGUGAAUCCGUUCCCGGGCCU